rnacentral:ncRNA from 1 species
AUUCUCAAACUUUAAAUAUGUAAGAAGCCCUUGUUACUUAAUUGAACGUGGGCAUUCGAAUGUACCAACACUAGUGGGCCAUUUUUGGUAAGCAGAACUGGCGAUGCGGGAUGAACCGAACGCGGGGUUAAGGUGCCGGAGUGGACGCUCAUCAGACACCACAAAAGGCGUUAGUACAUCUUGACAGCAGGACGGUGGCCAUGGAAGUCGGAAUCCGCUAAGGACUGUGUAACAACUCACCUGCCGAAUGUACUAGCCCUGAAAAUGGAUGGCGCUCAAGCGUCCCACCCAUACCCCGCCCUCAGGGUAGAAACGAUGCCCUGAGGAGUAGGCGGCCGUGGAGGUCAGUGACGAAGCCUAGGGCGUGAGCCCGGGUCGAACGGCCUCUAGUGCAGAUCUUGGUGGUAGUAGCAAAUACUUCAAUGAGAACUUGAAGGACCGAAGUGGGGAAAGGUUCCAUGUGAACAGCGGUUGGACAUGGGUUAGUCGAUCCUAAGCCAUAGGGAAGUUCCGUUUCAAAGGGGCACUUGUGCCCCGUGUGGCGAAAGGGAAGCCGGUUAACAUUCCGGCACCUGGAUGUUGGGUUUUGCGCGGCAACGCAACUGAACGCGGAGACGACGGCGGGGGCCCCGGGCAGAGU